UACAGAGGUCCCAAGCGUUGUUCGGAUUCAUUGGGCGUAAAGGGGGCGUAGGCGGCGCGGUAAGUCGGGGGUGAAAUCUCGGGGCUUAACUCCGAAACUGCAUUCGAUACUGCCGUGCUUGAGGACUGGAGAGGAGACUGGAAUUUACGGUGUAGCGGUGAAAUGCGUAGAUAUCGUAAGGAAGACCAGUGGCGAAGGCGGGUCUCUGGACAGUUCCUGACGCUGAGGCACGAAGGCCAGGGGAGCAAACGGG
rnacentral:rRNA from 1 species